rnacentral:rRNA from 1 species
ACUCAAAUGAAUUGACGGGAGCCCGCACAAGCAGUGGAGUAUGUUGUUUAAUUCGAGGCGACGCGAAGAACCUUACCAGGUCUUGACAUCCCGUGAACCCUGCGUAAUGGCGGGGGUGCCCUUCGGGGAGCACGGUGACAGGUGGUGCAUGGUUGUCGUCAGCUCGUGUCGUGAGAUGUUGGGUUAAGUCCCGCAACGAGCGCAACCCUUGCGGAUAGUUGCUAGCUGGUUAACCCCAGAAGCACUCUAUUCGGACUGCCGUUGAUAAAACGGAGGAAGGCGGGGAUGAUGUCAAAUCAUCAUGCCCCUUAAGAUCUGGGCCACAAACGUACUACAAUGGCGCGAACAGAGGGGAGCGAAGCCGCGAGGCGGAGCAAAUCCCAAAAACGCGUCCCAGUUCAGAUUGCAGGCUGCAACUCGCCUGCAUGAAGUCGGAAUUGCUAGUAAUCGCGGAUCAGCAUGCCGCGGUGAAUACGUUCCCGGGCUUUGCACACACCGCCCGU